UCCCUGGUGGCUCAGACAGUAAAGCGUCUGCUUAUAAUGCGGGAGACCCAGGUUCAAUCCCUGGGUUGGGAA
rfam:Ovis aries breed Texel chromosome 12, whole genome shotgun sequence.